rnacentral:rRNA from 1 species
GUAAGCAGCCCUAGCACCUGAAGUCCAGAGUAGGUAAUCCACCUAAAGCUAAGCAGGUUUGGGCCAGUACUUGGAUGGGACACCAACUAGGAAAGCUGGGUUGCUGCUGGAA